ensembl:lncRNA
GAAAAAGAAGAAAAAAGCCAAGUCAAAAAGUAAAGAAUAACUCGAAGGAAGGAGUGGAUGGCAAGAAAUACAGGGAAAGCAAUGCAUAGCACAGCAAAGCAAAGCAAGGCAAAAUAGCAGCCAAAGCCACGAGAAUCAAGAAGUCAGUGAAGAGCAGGAAAGAGCAAGCAAGUAGGAAAGCUAGGCAUAGCACAGCAAAAGAGAGCAAAGCAAAAGAAGGCAAAGAAUGACAAAAAGCAACCUUGCAGGAAUGGAGGAAUCUGGCCAGAGCUGUGCCCCUGCUUGCCACAGGAGCUGCGCGGGAGGAGAAGAAUGUGGGCCAAAAGAUUUGUUUUGCUUGCAGGUGUUCCACUUUGCUUUGUAUGACACAGUGGACGAGAGGGUACGGCGUUCAGUGGAACAAACACUGCAGACCCUGGGGAGAAUCAAAGCAGGAGAGAGGAAAUGUGCCCUUUGCAGCAGGGGCCCUUGUGCUGGCAUUACCCAUCGCAUCCACUGCUGCUGUGGUCCUUUCUUUCCUUUGGGCAGUUUGCUGUCUCUCAAGGUGUUGUCUACAAUAGGUGCUUGUUUGUGUAUCCGUGUGAG